rnacentral:lncRNA from 13 species
CCCAAACUCCUCUACCUUAAACUUCUGCACGAAGCCUGUUCUCUCCAACAGCUGUGGGGAGCAAGGCGCUGCCUCCCAGCCUCCACUAGUCAGCUCCUGGGGAGCAUGCAGAGGGAGCAGCAGCAGGUGGGGGCUUGGUUCCUGCCUUCCUCUCUGGUCUCUGUGCCCAAACACAACUCCCUCCCUUCACUGAGGUCCAGGAUCCCUCCCUUACCACCUUCGUCACCUGUUCCAUCCCCCUGGCACGAAGGCUUUUAGCUACACUUCCCACCAUCCCUGGGAAUUUCUCACCCCCUUUGCCACUGCUGCCAUGCCUGUGCAGAAUAACUCUGGAGUUCCCAGGAUGAGCGGGGUGUCCCCCAGCCUGCUGUCCCUGGUGGCUGUAGCACCUGCAGGUAAGAAGGCAGGGUUGUCUCUGACCCAGGCUGCUGAGGCAGCUGCCAGGGCGGCAGAGGAGGAGGCCAGGCGGAGGAGGCACCUGGCAGGCAAGUAUGCAGCCAGCCUUCGUCACCAACUGAAGCUCCUUCGCCAAGACCUUCACGAGAGGCAGGAGCAGUGGGCCUCUUUCUGCUCAGCACUGAUGGAGGCUCAGCAGCUGCUGAAAGCACGGACAGGCUCCAGGCCAGAGAAGUCCUCUCCAGCUGGGCAGAACUCAGAAAGGGCAGUUCCCCAGCUGGACACCUGUCCCAGGUCAUGCUGCAGGAGGGCCACCGCCUAAAGGCCUGGGGCAUUCUGAGCACCAGCAUUGUGGCAGAGCUGCUGCGACCAGGUGGCAUCCGAACAUCAGAAGCUGCCAUCCUGCCCUAUGUGCCCUACCCAACCAGUCCCGCCACAGGUUCCUCUCCAGCCACGCACCUGCCCAUCCUGCAGCCAAGAAGGACGUCCCAGUUGGGGGCUCUCAUGACAGACCCCAUCAUAGGCAUUGAGGUGCCAGUGCUGGCUGUGACUCUGCACCCCCAAACAAGAGAGUGGCUCACUCUUGGGGGGACAUACGGCAAUCCUCUCACCAAGACCUUGGCCCCUCUUGAGAUGGGGGACCCCAUGGAGGACCCAGUCACAGGAGGCAUCUCGCCCAUCCUGGGAGUCGGGUUGGAUGAAAACACAGGUCAGCUGGGAAGGCUGCAAGAUGCUUUGGGGAACCUCAUGCUUCCUGGUGACAGCUUUGUGGAGCCAAUGAGUGGGAAGACAGUCUGGCUACAGAGGGCUUCUCAACAGGAGGGCCAGACAUUGCCCCAUAUGGGAGGGUCACAGGCCCUGCUGGACGCCAAUGUGCUGGUGGCCCAGAGGCAAGUGAUUGCAGUGCUCCAGCAGUGCCAGGCGAGUCCAGAGUCGGGGGUGCAGGGGCCUUUGGAGGCUACCAUCAAGGACAUAGACAGGCACUGGCCUUGA